rnacentral:rRNA from 1 species
GAUGAACGCUGGCGGCGUGCCUAAUACAUGCAAGUCGAGCGAAUGGAUUAAGAGUUUGCUCUUAUGAAGUUAGCGGCGGACGGGUGAGUAACACGUGGGUAACCUGCCCAUAAGACUGGGAUAACUCCGGGAAACCGGGGCUAAUACCGGAUAACAUUUUGAACCGCAUGGUUCGAAAUUGAAAGGCGGCUUCGGCUGUCACUUAUGGAUGGACCCGCGUCGCAUUAGCUAGUUGGUGAGGUAACGGCUCACCAAGGCAACGAUGCGUAGCCGACCUGAGAGGGUGAUCGGCCACACGCGGCUCGAGACGCGGGCAAGACCCCUACGGGAGGCAGCAGUAGGGAAUCUUCCGCAAUGGACGAAAGUCUGACGGAGCAACGCCGCGUGAGUGAUGAAGGCUUUCGGGUCGUAAAACUCUGUUGUUAGGGAAGAACAAGUGCUAGUUGAAUAAGCUGGCACCUUGACGGUACCUAACCAGAAAGCCACGGCUAACUACGUGCCAGCCGCCGCGGUAA